CACCUACCAAAAAAAUAGACCUACGAAGGUUAACCAACAAAAAAAGACCUACGAAGGUUAACCAGCGACAAAAAAAAACCUAAACCUAUCGCCCGCUCCCUCGCGCCCCUGUUGCUCCCUCCUCGAUCCCGAUCUGGAUCGAGGGGACGAGGAGCUCCUGCCUCCCCGUCGGCCGGCCUCCUCCUCGCCCCGCCGCUGCGUCCGGCGCCGCCACGGCCUCUGGAGCCAGGGAAGCCAUGGCCUGAGCUUGGCCUCGAGGUCCCCGCCGCCGUCUCCUGCAGCUUCUGCCCCGCCGCCUCACCGCCCGAGCUUGCUGUCGCACCAACCUCGUGUCGAGCAUCCUACCCAUUGGCAGACAGAGAUCAUCGAUGGUUCCGUGUGGCCUUAACCCUGCACCCAUGCCCGCAAUUCUUCUACCUCCUCUCAGCUGCACAAGGAUGGGGAUUGCGAGUUAGGAUGUAAUUUUCCUGUUAAAGUGACACUCCAUGGUAUGUUUGCUUUGAGAAAUUUCUUCCUAUUUUUCUUUUUCUACAAUGUAGAGCACAGUUUAGACAUGUUUCCUUUCUUAAAUCCACCUAUUCCUGAAACUUUAUAUUGAUAUGGUCUUGGUGGUCUCUGGUUUUUGUAAUUAAUCCGAAGGUCUACCUUUCUGGUUUUAAUUACUUAUGUGUGUAUAGAUGCCCAUCUUUCCACAACGUGUUGUUCUUGCAGGAAUUCCUGUUAUAUCAAUGAAAAUCUUACAAGGUAAAAUGAUGGACCUGAAUGGUUCAGACAGACAUAUACUGCAUCAAUGGAAACAAGGGAUGUUCUGUCAAUCUGAUCUUAGUUCUACAGACCUCAGAGUUCUACAGGGACGCAGACUAGCAGCGACACCUCUCUCUAUUGUGCUUCUAUCUGUUCUGUGGAUCAAUUCAGAGUGUUGAUCGUUAUGGGUCGAUAAAAAAAUGUUCAGAAUCUGAUGCGUGGCGAUCAGAUGGUCAAAAAAGUGACGGUGUGUGACGAUCGGACGACCGGAUGAUCGGACGUCUUCUUCUUCAAGCUCCCAGCAUGCCGUACUCUCCAUCUAUUGUCUCUUUCGCACGGCGGGGCAGAGGGAGUUGAUCGAGGACCGCAGCGUCGGCCACCCAGGUACAAGCGUGUGGCGGCGACUGCGAUGCACAUCAGCCUACUGUUCUUCUACCGGUACACAGCGGCCAUGUGCCACCGCCGUGCCCUUCAUUGGCGUCCUCCUGGGACACCUCCAUGUAGCACCAAGGGGAAUAUUUGUUCAGAAUCUUCAGUCUUGUAAUUUUCUCCUUGAUGACAAUGACCAUGCUGUACUGGGGGAUAUGGGAUUCCAUCCUUGCUGUUUGGACUUCCGCUGCCAAAUCCAGAUCUUAUCCAAAGACUUGAGACUCCAAAUUACAUGCCCCAGAACAUUGGCAACCAAACAUCAGAGGCCCAAUUAGUUACGAGACUGACUCAUUGGGGUUUCGCUCGCAGCAUUCUUGAGAUGUUCAGUGGCGUUCAGACUUGGUGUGCCAAAUCACCAGAUGAGAUUUAUCAGUCAGUUGUCCUGAAGAAAGAGAAACCGAUGUUCCUAUACAAUUUACCUAUGGAGGUCGCUAAUGUCCUCUCUGGCUGCUAUGAGUAUGACUUUCGGGAUCACUCCUUGAUGUUAGAUAUCUUACAGUCAUUUGAAAGGUUGGAGGUGACACAUGAACGCUGGCAAUGCAAAAUAGCAGAUAUAAAAUAACUGCAGCUCAGGCCUUGUAGUUCUACAACAACCAAGGAAGAAGUCUGUUUUUUAAGCCGACCUCGGCCAAGCAAUUUAAGCUUAUAUGGGUGCUCUCUAUUUUUCAGAGUGUUGGUUCUGGGUUUAGAAUCAAUUUAAUAUGUGGAUUGAUAUCCCACCAACCACAAAACGGAAUUUCUUCUUUGAUAUUCUGCUGGUUUUCUGGUUGAGGAUUUCCAACAAGAGUGAAUGUAUAAUCCAGCCAACCAACCCAAGAUGUUUACCAGCACCAUCACGAUGAUCUUUCUCAGCCUGCUCGACCCAAUCAGUCUUCUAAUAUUCAUCUCAUGGAGGGUCAAGAAAAAGACGUAAAACCAUAGCUUGCUUCUUGGUUCCAGUUUCUGCAGCCACCAUUGAUAAGCAUGGGGCUGAGCAAAUGAGUAUCAAAGGGAAGUCAAGGAAACUUCGUCCUCUAGGCUGGUUGCGAUUUAGUUCUCCAGCAGCUUCAACGCCAAGAUGAGGAGGUGGGAGAGGUGCCGUCCAAGGAGGUCAGGGGAGGAGGGCAACAAGGCUGGGGAGCGGAGGCGGAGGCUGACACGGAAGAGAAUGAUCAAGCAUGUAAAUCUAGAGCACAAGCUCAUGAUUUAUCAAGGGAGUGGCGCUGCCGCCGGAGUAGAAAAUCAUAUCUCACAUUAAGGUGUUUUUGUCUUUUGUUUUUGUACAAAUUUGGUGCAGGCAAAAUUUUGAUGGUACAUAUAAGAUGACUAGCAUUAUCUUUUUACUGAGUGCAUGUUCGGGUACCA